GUAGGGAAUAUUGCAAAAUGGGCGCAAGCCCGAUGCAGCAACGCCGCGUGGGCGAUGAAGGCCUUCGGGUCGUAAAGCCCUUUUUGAGGGGAUGAGGAAGGACAGUACCCUCAGAAUAAGCCUCGGCUAACUACGUGCCAGCAACCGCGGUAAAACGUAGGAGGCGAGCGUUAUCCGGAUUUACUGGGCGUAAAGCGCGUGCAGGCGGAUUGGAGAGUUGGAUGCGAAAGCUCCCGGCUUAACUGGGAGAGGUCGUUCAAUACUUCCAGUCUUGAGUGCAGUAGAGGGAAGUGGAAUUCCGGGUGUAGUGGUGAAAUGCGUAGAUAUCCGGAGGAACACCAGUGGCGAAAGCGGCUUCCUGGACUGUAACUGACGCUCAGACGCGAAAGCUAGGGUAGCAAACGG
rnacentral:rRNA from 1 species